CCUACGGGAGACAGCAGUGGGGAAUAUUCCACAAUGGGGGAAACCUUGAUGCAGCAACGCCGCGUGCGUGAAGAAGUAUUUCGGUAUGUAAAGCUCUAUCAGCAGGGAAGAAGAAAGACGGUACCUGACUAUUAAGCCCCGGCUAACUACGUGCCAGCAGCCGCGGUUAUACGUAGGGGGCAAGCGUUAUCCGGAUUUACUGGGUGUAAAGGGAGCGUAGACGGCUGUGCAAGUCUGAAGUGAAAGCCCGUGGCCCAACCGCGGAACUGCUUUGGAAACUGGAUAGCUUGAGUAAUAGAGAGGCAGGCGGAAUUCCUAGUGAAGCGGUGGAAUGCGUAGAUAUUAGGAGGAACACCAGUGGCGAAGGCGGCCUGCUGGACAGAAACUGACGUUGAGGCUCGAAAGCGUGGGGAGCAAACAGGAUUAGAUACCCGAGUAGUC
rnacentral:rRNA from 1 species